rnacentral:ncRNA from 22 species
AUACUAGGCACGGGGUGCCAACCGGAUGGAAAAAUUCCGGAGGCUGAGAAAACACCCGUUGAACCUGCUCUAGCUCGUACUAGCGAAGGGAUGGCCUUAACGUGGCUA